GACACACGUCCAUGAUGACCUUGAGAUGACUGUAUGUUCAUGUUUGGUUGAAGCCACCCCGAGAUGCUCAAGGUUCUGACUGUGCUGCCAAAGGGAGGAGGGAUGGGACCAGCUGCGGCAAGUGCCUCCGGUGAUGCCAGACUUCAGUGUAGAGUCCGGUGUAUCCUCACCAAGCACUGUAUGCUGCAAUCCCUCUCCUGAUGCUUACACUGGAGGGCUGACUUUCAGGUGGGGUCAGAGGGUGAGGAAACAGAAGUAACUGCCCACAGGAAAUAUGCUGCAGCUUCCUCCAUAGACACGGAGUCCUAGGAGACCCUGACUCCAUGGAAACGGCAUGUGUGCACAGCAUUCUUCGAGGCCCACUCCAAUUCUCCUUAGAAGCUGUUGCACCGCUGUGGAUUUUCACGGUGCUCAAUCCUAAUCCGAAAUCUCUUUAAAACAAAGCAGCAUCAUUGAAUCACAGACCAUCAGAAAAGAAAAGCUCCUGACUGGUCAAAUGCCCUCAGUGCACAGAUGGGGCUUAUAGAAGACUCAAGGCAUUGCUUGCUGAAGGCCAUCCUACCUAGUUAUGGGUAGAGGGAAUAUUCGAGUUUCACAUUGGACUUGCUAGUGUGGUGUUUACCUACAAGGUUGACAUCACAUCAGUUGCAUUGAACUUGAUUAAAGCUGCACUCCAAUGGCUCCCAUGAAUGCCCUAAAACUUGGGAGAAUAAAAA
rnacentral:lncRNA from 1 species